UUGGUUAAGUUAGAAAGGGCGCACGGUGGAUGCCUUGGCACUAGGAGCCGAAGAAGGACGGGACUAACACCGAUAUGCUUUGGGGAGCUGUACGUAAGCGUUGAUCCAGAGAUUUCCGAAUGGGGGAACCCACUAUCUUUAGUCGGAUAGUAUCCUUACGUGAAUACAUAGCGUGAGGAAGGCAGACCCAGGGAACUGAAACAUCUAAGUACCUGGAGGAAGAGAAAGAAAAAUCGAUUUCCUGAGUAGCGGCGAGCGAAACGGAAAGAGCCCAAACCAAGAAGCUUGCUUCUUGGGGUUGUAGGACACUCUAUACGGAGUUACAAAAGAAAGUUAUAAAUGAAGCGGUCUGGAAAGGCCCGCCAAAGACGGUAACAGCCCGGUAGUUGAAAUGGCUUUCCCUCCAGAGUGGAUCCUGAGUACGGCGGAACACGUGAAAUUCCGUCGGAAUCCGGGAGGACCAUCUCCCAAGGCUAAAUACUCCCUAGUGACCGAUAGUGAACCAGUACCGUGAGGGAAAGGUGAAAAGCACCCCGGAAGGGGAGUGAAACAGUUCCUGAAACCGUGUGCCUACAAGUAGUUAGAGCCCGUUAAUGGGUGAUAGCGUGCCUUUUGUAGAAUGAACCGGCGAGUUACGAUUUGUUGCAAGGUUAAGCGGAAAAAGCGGAGCCGUAGCGAAAGCGAGUCUGAAUAGGGCGCAUAAGUAACAGGUCGUAGACCCGAAACCAGGUGAUCUACCCAUGUCCAGGAUGAAGGUAAGGUAAUACUUACUGGAGGUCCG
rnacentral:rRNA from 1 species